rnacentral:sRNA from 1 species
CUUUGCAGGUAAGCUUAUUAACUUCUAUAAGGGCAGAUAAAAGCAUCGCUGUUCAUCCUCGUCGAAUUUUGGCCGUUUUGCAGGUAGGUUUAUUAGCGUCUCCAGGGACAGUUAAAAACAUCGCUGAUCAUCUUCGUUGGAUUUUUGGCCGCUUUGCAGGUAGGUUUAUUAGCGCAUCCAGGGACAGUUAAAAGCAUUGCUGAUCAUCUUCGUUGGAUUUUUAGCCGUUUUGCAGGUGAGUGUAUAUUGUGAACUUUUGCUCAAUUCAAAAUAGUUAUUAAUUAGAUGAUUCUUUUUACUUUUCUCGUUUCAGGUAGGUUUAUUAGCGUCUCCAGGGACAUUUAAAAGCAUUGCUGAUCAUCUUCGUUGGAUUAUUAGCCGCUUUGCAGGUGAGUGUAUAUUGUGAACUUUUGCUCAAUUCAAAAUAGUUA